rnacentral:rRNA from 1 species
CCUACGGGUGGCAGCAGUGGGGAAUAUUGCACAAUGGGGGAAACCCUGAUGCAGCGACGCAGCGUGAGUGAAGAAGUAUUUCGGUAUGUAAAGCUCUAUCAGCAGGGAAGAAAAUGACGGUACCUGAUUAAGAAGCCCCGGCUAACUACGUGCCAGCAGCCGCGGCAAUACGUAGGGGGCAAGCGUUAUCCGGAUUUACUGGGUGUAAAGGGAGCGUAGACGGCAGCACAAGUCUGGAGUGAAAUGCCGGGGGUUAACCCCGGAACUGCUUUGGAAACUGUGCAGCUAGAGUGCAGGAGAGGUAAGUGGAAGUCCUAGUGUAGCGGUGAAAUGCGUAGAUAUUAGGAGGAACACCAGUGGCGAAGGCGGCUUACUGAACUGUAACUGACGUUGAGGCUCGAAAGCGUGGGGAGCAAACAGGAUUAGAUACCCGUGUAGUC